AUGAGCGGAGUGCGUAAUAAAGCAGAUGAUAUCACUGAAGCUAUAUCAACGGGAACAUGCUAUAUUGUGCUGGAAAGGUUCCCUCCAGACUAUGUACAGACGGUAGCGCGGUAUCUUGAAUCAUCUGUGCCACAAAACAAUUGUGAUGCCACGCGUGACGACCCAAAAGAAACAGAAAGCAGUGAUUCGGGAGACAGCGUGUUCAUCACCCAGAAGCCGGUCCCGGAGCCUGUGAGAAGCAGCAGACGGCAUCGCAAAACUCCAACAUCUCCAAAAGAUCUAGAAGAAAGUGAAGAUUCGUCUUCCUCCCAAAAUGCCACAACGUCUAACAAGAAAAGGAAAAAAAAGAAUGUUAGGCUGCCAAAGUACACCUUUCCUUUUGUUAAAGAGAAGCAGUGGAUGGGAAGGAGAUCAGUUUUGACUGGCCAGCAGAAUAAAAAGCUUCACAAUGCCAUGAUGGGAGGCUUCUUUAAAUGUGUGAGGGAGCUGUGGCACGGCUAUAAAGGUGUAUAUAUGGACAUGUCUCUACCCACAGUUGACAUGGAUGGGGAUAUUCUAUCUCCACUGUCAGAAGAAGAAGAAGAGAGGUCAGAAAAGGAGGACAUCAAAGUGGUGGAAAAGCGUUUUCUAGCUGCAUCAAAAGCAAUGUGCACCCAAGCAUGGUACACUCCAGGAAAGAUGGAAGGCCACAUAAAGCAACAGAGCAGGAGGAGGAGAGCCAGUAGCACCAGCCAAGACGUGUCCCAAGACCAAACGAUGACAAUUCAACAGUCAACCAGCAGAUCCAUAACAACGGCUACUCCGUUGUUGAGUGAUAAAGAUGGACAUCCUUGUAGAGAUUUGCCUCAGCAGGAGAAUGGAGAUCCUGAACAUGAGAUACAUCAAAAAAGCAUUCCUGGACAAACCGAACUGUCAAAGACAAAGAGACGUCUUACUGGAGGGAAGAAAAUGAUUCUCUUUCAGAAAAAUGAACGAGAGGAAGAGUUGUACAGCGACAGUGAUGCUACUGUGUGUGAUGCUCUACAGCUUCAUGGAAGUCCAAGCAAGCACACACAAGGAGGCAAAGAGGCAGUCAACACUGCAACACAGGCUCAAGUCGAUGUUUUCCAAAUGGAUGAACUAAGCCAGGGCAGACAAGAAGAGGAGGAACCUGAAAGUCAAAGUGUCCUCCACGGUCUUCCACAGUUUGUGGGUGACACCAACAGUGUUAUUGUAUGUGCUGAAUCUACCCCGAAAAAGAAGAAAAAAAACACUGUAACACAGGCUCAAGCUGAUGUUUUCCAAAUUGAUGAACUAAGCCAGACCAGACAAGAAGAGGAGGAACCUGAAAGUCAAAGUGUCCUCCAGGGUCUUCCACAGUUUGUGGGUGACACUAAUAAUGUUAUUUCAUGUGCUGAAAGCACCUUGAAGAAGAAGAAAAACACUGUAACACAGGCUCAAGUGGACGUUUUCCAGAUGGAUGAACUAAGCCAGACCAGACAAGAAGAGGAGGAACCUGAAAGUCAAAGUGUCCUCCACGGUCAUCCACAGUUUGUGGGUGACCCCAACAGUGUUAUUGUAUGUGCUGAAUCUACCCCGAAAAAGAAGAAAAAAAACACUGUAACACAGGCUCAAGCUGAUGUUUUCCAAAUUGAUGAACUAAGCCAGACCAGACAAGAAGAGGAGGAACCUGAAAGUCAAAGUGUCCUCCAGGGUCUUCCACAGUUUGUGGGUGACACUAAUAAUGUUAAUGUAUUUGUUGAAUCCACCCUGAAGAAGAAGAAGAAGAAGAAGAAAAAGAAGAAAAACACUGUAACACAGGCUCAAGCCCAUGUUUUCCAAAUUGAUGAACUAAGCCAGACCAGACAAGAAGAGGAGGAACCUGAAAGUCAAAGUGUCCUCCAGGGUCUUCCACAGUUUGUGGGUGACACUAAUAAUGUUAUUGUAUGUGCUGAAAGCACCUUGAAGAAGAAGAAAAACACUGUAACACAGGCUCAAGUGGACGUUUUCCAGAUGGAUGAACUAAGCCAGACCAGACAAGAAGAGGAGGAACCUGAAAGUCAAAGUGUCCUCCACGGUCUUCCACAGUUUGUGGGUGACACCAACAGUGUUAUUGUAUGUUCUGAAUCUACCCCGAAGAAGAAGAAAAAGAAGAAAAAAAACACUGUAACACAGGCUCAAGCCCAUGUUUUUCAAAUUGAUGAACUAAGCCAGACCAGACAAGAAGAGGAGGAACCUGAAAGUCAAAGUGUCCUCCAGGGUCUUCCACAGUUUGUGGGUGACACUAAUAAUGUUAAUGUAUUUGUUGAAUCCACCCUGAAGAAGAAGAAGAAGAAAAAGAAGAAAAACACUGUAACACAGGCUCAAGCCGAUGUUUUCCAAAUGGAUGAACUAAGCCAGACCAGACAAAAAGAGGAGGAACCUGAAAGUCGAAGUCUCCUCCAGAGUCUUCCACAGUUUGUGAGUGACGCCAAUAAUGUUAUUGUAUGUGCUGAAUCCACACCAAAGAAGAAGAAAAAGAAGAAAAACAAAAACAUCAAAGCCAAAGGAGAUCGUGAUAGUGUAGAAGAAGCAGCAGGUCAGAAUCAGGAAGAGCCAGAAGGUCUGCACGCUGCAGAAUCUGUAAAUGUGGAGGCAGAAGAGACUUUUAGUCGGUCAGACAACAAUGAUAACAUGUCGAUGCAGGAGAAGAGACUUGAUUCAACUCAACAGAAAAGAAAGAGAAAAAGGGGUAAGUUAUUUGCUGAAAAUAUUAGACAAGAGGUGGGAGAACACUUGGAGCCUGGUGUGAGUUUAGAGGAAUCUGAGGCUUCUGUGAUGUGUAACAUUGAGAAUGCCAAGAAGAUAAAAAAGAAGAAAGGUGUUGAUGAUGCUGAGGGUGUUGAACAGUUGGAGUCCACUGAAGCUGCCACAACUAAAAAUGAUGGACAAAAGAAAAUGAAAAAACUGAAACACAAAAGUAUAAAACGGUCAUCCUCACUUGAAGAUAAUCAAUGUGAAAAUGAUGCAAAAGUGAGAUUGUCUAAUGAGGGAGCAACCUUGGAAGAACAUGUAGUGAAAAAAAGGAAGAAAGAAAGCAUCUCUCAGGGAGUUUCUAUUUCUUACACUCCUGACAAAAGCGAUAAGGUUGAAUGUAUAGAUUCUAAUGAGCAAGAUGAACAAUUAUGUAAGAAGAAAAAGAAAAAGAGGAGGCGAGAGAAAUUUGGUGAAUUAUCUAACGAACAGGCCUCAAAAGAUACUGUAGCACAGAGCCAUGAGGCAGUAUCUGUGAGGAAAAAGGAAAAGAGGACGACCUCUUCCUUCCUUCAAGCUGAUUCAGGGGAAAAAGAUGUUGAGUUGCAUCAGCAGCAAAACAACUCAAAAACAGUAGCACCUGGUGUCUGUGACUUUGAGGCCGAAUCAGCGGAAAUUGUUGGAAAUUCUGGUGAUGGAGUCAGCAAAAAGAAGAAAAGAAAGAGGAAGACAAUGGAGACUCAGGACAAUGUGGAAGACGAUCAGGGGACUGAGUUUGAGGAACCAAACAAAAUGUGCAGGAGUGUUUUAACUGAAACAGGGAUAAAGAAAAGGAAGAAAAGUAAAAGUAAAUCUGUGUCAAUGGACAGACUGGACAGUGCAGUUGAUGUAGGGCGAUUUCAAGCUGAGGAAGACAUGAUGCAGAAAAAGAAAAAGAACAAGAAAAUAUUUAACGAACUGAAAAUGUAA
rnacentral:lncRNA from 1 species